CCAGUCCUCAUCUCUGUCUGCAUCUCAUGGAGACAGAGUUGCCAUCAUUUGCAGGGCCAGUCAGCGUAUUAGCAAUGAUUUACAUUGGUACCAACAGAGAGCAGGGAAAGCUUCAAAACUCCUGAUCAGUUACACAACUACUUUGCAAUCUGGGGUCCCAUCAAGAUUCAGUGGCAGUGGAUCUGGGACAGCGUUCACUCUCACCAUCAGCAGCCUGCAGCCUGAAUAUUGCAACUUAUUACUGUCAAC